ensembl:lncRNA
GUGGGGGGGAGGGGGGCCCAGGCCUACCGCAUACCACCCACCCACACAAGCACCCACCCACCGAGGCCCACGUCUCCAGGCCAGCUCCAGAGUUUGCUGCCGCACCUAGCAACGCUGUUGAGGAAUGUGGCCGCUCACCAUGGAGAGCUCCCUGCAGGGAGGCCCCCGGGCCCAGGCUGCCCCCUCCCCGGCUCUCCCCAGGUCCUCCCCUCCCCCUCUGCCACCACGCCUCGCCCCCCCUGCCCAGCUGCCCGCUUUGCCAGCAGAGAAGGCGGCCUUUGGGAACGGGCAGGCCCGAGAGCCGAUGCCCGAGGCAAAGCCGCUCNNNNNNNNNNNNNNNNNNNNNNNNNNNNNNNNNNNNNNNNNNNNNNNNNNNNNNNNNNNNNNNNNNNNNNNNNNNNNNNNNNNNNNNNNNNNNNNCUGGGAGCUGGAGUGGGGGAGGGGGCCACUCGGCCCUCGGGUGCAGGGAGGCCUCCUCUUGUGUUUAGAUGUCAGCUGAGUUACUAAUCACACAGAAGAACAGCACCCAGCACCCCCCACCGGCCCCUUUCCCAUGCGCCCCAUCCCCUUCCUGAGGGCAACAAUGUACCCCCCCCCCCCCCCCCAAAAAACUAGAACCCAGGACCUCUUCCCCAGCUGCAGACUCCGAAGGGCCCGAGGCCCCUCCUUCUCCAUCUGCCCCAGAGGGACUGGCUUUCCCCUGAGGACAAACCUGCUGGCUGCAGGCUGUUCUGGUCACAGGAGGGGGCUAAACAAAUCCCGGACCCUCUUUCCUGCCUAGGCACCCCACCCCGACCCCGGGAGAGCUCUCCCGGCAGGACAGCGGGGCACCCCGAGGCUCACCCACCGUCUUAGAAUGUAAACUUAGAUGGAAGAAAAUGAGAGAAUGACGCCCAAAGAAGGGGGGCCCGAUGGGCAGCGAAGGCUAACGACAAAACGCCAGGCUUGGCAUUUGUUCAGCUAUGGGGGGAGAAACUCUGCUCGAACCCUUGUUCCCUUGUCCCGUGGCCACUCGGACCUGGACAAACCCCUCCCAGGGGGAGGACUCUCGACUGCUGCCUCCCUCCUUUCAGCUCCCAUCCUGCCCAAGAGGGCUGAUCCAUGGGGGCCCAGAGCUGCGAUCCCACCUCAGCUGGGCCCUCACUGAAGCAAGGCAACCUUUGUGCCUCCUUCAUCAGCUCAUCCCUGGGACUGGUGAAGCCUCCCACACCUCCCUCUACCGCCACUUCUACCACUGGGGGCUCUGUCUGUCUGUCUCUGUCUGCCUGUCUGUCUCCACCUCCUCUCUCUUCUGUCUCUGGUCUGUCUGUCUGUCUGUCUCCACCUCCUCUCUCUUCUGUCUCUUGUCUGUCUGUCUGUCUGCCUGUCUGUCUCCACCUCCUCUCUCCUCUGCCUCUGUCUGUCUGUCUCUGUCUCUCUUCUCUAUGUCUCCUUUUUCUCUGUGUCUGUCUCCCCUUCUCUCUCUCUGCGUAUGUGUGCAUACACACACACACACACACACAUAUAGCUAGGUACAAAUAUUGAUCUAUAUAGUAUACCUGUAUCUAUAAAGCUGGGAAUAUAUAUAUAUAUAUCAGUCUGUGUAUAAAUAUAUUAAUUCACCCCUCUAUCUAGAUAUUUAACUAGCCUCCAUCUCUCUUGUGAGCUCCAUUCCAGCAUCACCAACUACCCAUUAUUUUGAAGGGGAGGCUUCACAGCCAUUUCAAAUCCAGCCUAUCCCAAACGGGACGGGUGAGCUUUCUGCAGAGCCCGCCCCUCCUCCCCACAUCUUUUAAAGCCACCCCCAUCUUUAGGGUCCUCCUGGAUCACACCCUCACCUCCUCACUUUUCCUCACCCCACCUAUCCCAUCGGUCCCUGAAGCUCGUGCUCGGAAGCAGCCCACUUCCUCAGCCACCCCCUCAUUAGUAGAGGCCCUCGUGGCUUCUCACCUGGGCUCUGCCAAAGCCUCCUAAUGGUUCUGCUGGCCUCCAGACCCUCCUCAUUCCAAUCCAUCCUCUGAAAAGCUGCCAAAGUGAUUCUCCUAGAGCGCCCCGUCCCCCUCUACCCGGCUGGCUCCCUAUUACCUCUGUGAACAAGUAUCAUUUGUCUGUUUUGCAUUUCCAGCUUCACCGCCUCGACCCAUCCUGCCUCUCCAGUCUUCCUGCCUCUUACUUCCUCCAAACACUUUCCAGACUGUCCAAAGUGGCUUUCGGGCUGCUCAUCGUUGUCACCUUUUUAUCGUCGUUAUCCCUGUCAGCAUAGCGAGGGCUUAUAGAGCACCUUCAGGUCUGCAGAGCCCUUUACAUGUGCUAUCAUCCUAUGAGGCAGGUACGAUGACUACCUCCCAUUUUACAGCUGAAGAAAGUAAAGAACACGACCCUCCCUCUGAGUCUACGGCUUUGCGUCUCCCGACGGUUAUCAUGUAUCUGCUUUGCAUCUCCCGACAGUUAUCAUGUAUCUGUUUUAGAUGUGAUUUGUACAUUGUUUAAAGAAAACCCCCAACGACCCUUACUUUCCAUCUUAGAAUCAAUACUGUGUAUGGGCUCCGCUCCAUGACAGAAGAGUGGUAAGGGCUAGGCAAUGGGGGUUAAAUGACUUGACCAGGAGAACACAUCUAGGAAGUAUCUAAGGCCAGAUUUGAACCCAGGACCUCCCAUCUCUGGGCCUGGCUCUCAACCCAAUCCAACGGCCCCCUGUGUUUUGUAUAUUAUAAUGUUAAAUUCCAUUAGAACGGAAACUCCUUGAAGGCAGGGUUAUUUCACUCUUGCCUUUGGAUUCCCAGCACAGAGCAUGGAACGUGGCACGUAACAGGCAAUUCAGAGCUGUUUGAUGAUUGUUUGGUUGAAGGAGAAACAAUCACCCAGGAAGAGGACCACCGCUUCAGGCGGUUGGACAAUGAGAACAGACAACACAGAGAAGGGAGAACUGCUCAAAUCUUGUUUGGUUCCUGUUUUCUCUGCCGAGGAGAAUGACCUCUGCACUGGAAAUGACAACAAAAAUGGCGAACAGGGAACGGAUGCCCAAGAUAAAUAAGGAGUGAGUAAGAGAGCAUCCAGCUGCCUUUGAUGAAUUCAAAUCCCCUGGCCCAGAUGAACUACACGUUCCAGCCCUGAAAGACCUGGCGGAGGUGACAGCAGGGCCACUGUCAGGGACCUCUGAAAGAUCAUGGAAAAUGGGAGAGAUAGCACAGGAUUAAAGAAGGCCAAAUGUUUCCCCAAUGUUCAAAGAAGGAAAGAGAAGGGAGCCAGAAAACAAAAGGCGCAGGAGCUGGACUUUGAUUUCUGGGAAAAUUCAAGAUACUGAGAUAGACACUGAGCAUCUCCAAAGGAAGCAGGGAUUCAUUCCAAAGAGGCAGCCUGGCUUCAGCCAAACCAGGUCCAUGCUAGCCUUGCCUUAUUUCAUUAAAAAAAUGGGGUUAAUAAAUUGGUAGACAUAGUUUCUGUAGAUUGCUGC